AUUGAACGCUGGCGGCAUGCCUAACACAUGCAAGUCGAACGGGGUAGCGAAUACCCAGUGGCGGACGGGUGAGGAAUACAUAGGAAUUUGCCUUUAGGUGGGGGAUAGCCCGGGGAAACUCGGAGUAAUACCGCAUGAUGUCGAAAGACCAAAGUAGGGGAUCGCAAGACCUUGCGCCUUUAGAGAAGCCUAUGUCUGAUUAGCUAGUUGGUAGGGUAAUGGCCUACCAAGGCGACGANCAGUAACUGGUCUGAGAGGACGAUCAGUCACACCGGAACUGAGACACGGUCCGGACUCCUACGGGAGGCAGCAGGUGGGGAAUAUUGGACAAUGGGCGAAAGCCUGAUCCAGCAAUGCCGCGUGUGUGAAGAAGGCC
rnacentral:rRNA from 1 species